UACGGAGGGUGCAAGCGUUAUCCGGAAUCAUUGGGUUUAAAGGGUCCGCAGGCGGAUUUAUAAGUCAGUGGUGAAAGCCUACAGCUCAACUGUAGAACUGCCAUUGAUACUGUAGAUCUUGAAUUCGGUCGAAGUGGGCGGAAUAUGACAUGUAGCGGUGAAAUGCUUAGAUAUGUCAUAGAACACCGAUAGCGAAGGCAGCUCACUAGGCCUGGAUUGACGCUCAGGGACGAAAGCGUGGGGAGCAAACAGGAUUAGAUACCCUGGUAGUCCACGCCGUAAACUAUGAUUACUCGUUCUCAGCUCUUAAGGAGUUGGGGACUAAGCGAAAGUGAUAAGUAAUCCACCUGGGGAGUACGAUCGCAAGGUUGAA
rnacentral:rRNA from 1 species